AAAAACAUGUCACACUUACAAAAAGAUAAAACAUGCUUGUAGAGGCCAUUUGGCAAUUUUUAAGCUGCUUCUUGUAAGAAACAAGGAUAUCAACUUAAGCAACAUGACUGGGUGGCUUUUUUAAAUGUCCCACUAUCCUUUGUGUGAAGAAGAUGUGAAGAAGAAGUUUCUCUUCUGAAUGCAAUUAGCUGAUUUCAUGGCUAGUUUUUACCUGUGUUCUCUGGUUUGUAUUCCACUCUUGAUUAUGAAGAAAACAAGUGACUGGACCUUGUCUGUGAGGAUUCUGAGCAGGUUCCCAUAUACUGUAGAUAUUACAAUUAUGCAGUUUAAUUGAUUAGACACACUAUGUACUGUAACUGAAUGCUCAUGUACUGUAGAACACAUAACCCUUGUUUUGAAGAUGUAAGUAGAAAGUCAACAAAAAAAAACCUAAGUCUCCUUUUCAGGAAGCUACAUCUAGCUCAAUGUUUCCCAUAUUAUAUUCAUAGUUCAUGUUUUUGCUACCUGCUUGUGAUACCCAGCACUUGUAUGAAUCAUGAGCCUUCGGCCAAGUGUUUAUCCUUUCCUGGGUACAUAUAGCCUUGUUUAUUAAGAUGCUGUACCUGCCAAGAUAGAUAAAAUAGCUUUUAGGCUGCAGUUCAUAGUUUUGGGGUAGUGAUUAUAUCUGACAUAAAACAUUUCUGUGUAAUUUAUUUUUUUCCAGAGUGUAUACCCUCAUCCAUGUGGUGUCCUAUCGAAGCACAGAGAAAGACUACAAGGUUGACGAGGAUGAUGAUGAUGGACUGACCCUUGAAAACUGCAUUGCAUCAGGUCUUGUAAUUACCAGUGACGACCUGUAGAAGCACCCAGCAAGGAGUUAUUGUUACAGACUGAUACUUUGCCUGUGCUGGUGUUCCCCUGUGUGAAAAACUUUCUUGAAGAGCACUUUAUUAUCAAGUUUGCAUUUAAAGACAUUUCUGUUAUUAAAAACCAUUACACACAUUAUUUCAAUUCAUUUACAUUUUUUUUGGAGUCAUGUUUUUUGAUCCGUAUUUCAUCGCAUUUGGUUUGGAAUGUGAAGUUUUAAAUGAUCUUAUUUAGCUAAAAGCCAUUAGUGUAUCUGCAAUUUCUCACUUAAAUCACAAUAAUUCUAUAAUAACAUUAUGAUGCAAAAAAGUAUAAUCAGGUUACAAUGAGAUUUGCUUGUUAACUGACUAAGGAUAAUGGUACCAUACACCAAAGUUGCAAGCUAAAUAAGACAUUUCACAAGUCAAAGGAAAACCUUACUUAAAUAUUCCUUUAUUGAAAAGAUUUUUUCUGGUAAUUGUUUCACAUGAAGUUAUAGUUCCAUGAUUAACAUGGUCAAAAUGGUGAGGCUUUUCACAACAGUUUUUGCUCUAUAGCAUAGCUCCUGUAUGAUUCCUAAUUUUAGUGCAAUAAUUGUUGUUAGGGGAUAUUUUGUUUUGGAUUUAAGUGACAAUUUAAAUCUUGUGUUAUUUAAUACUAACUUUUUUAAAGAGAUAUGGAAUAACUACUGUAUGAUGUGUCCACUGUUGUUGUAUUGCAAUGGUUUGUUCCACAUAAUUUUUUAAAACUUGGUGUAGUUAAUAAAAUACUUAAUUGUAAAUGA